CCUACGGGUGGCAGCAGUGGGGAAUAUUGCACAAUGGGGGAAACCCUGAUGCAGCGACGCCGCGUGAGUGAAGAAGUAUUUCGGUACGUAAAGCUCUAUCAGCAGGGAAGAAAAAAAGUCCUUUGGACUUUGGACGGUACCUGACCAAGAAGCCCCGGUUAACUACGUGCCAGCAGCCGCGGUAAUACGGAGGGGGCAAGCGUUAUCCGGAUUUACUGGGUGGAAAGGGAGCGUAGACGGCAGCGCAAGUCUGGAGGGAAAUGCCGGGGCCCAAACCCGGAACUGCUUUGGAAACUGUGCAGCUGGAGUGCAGGAGAGGUAAGCGGAAUUCCUAGUGUAGCGGGGAAAUGAGUAGAUAUUAGGAGGAACACCAGUGGCGAAGGCGGCUUACUGGACUGUAACUGACGUUGAGGCUCGAAAGCGUGGGGAGCAAACAGGAUUAGAUACCCCAGUAGUC
rnacentral:rRNA from 1 species